GCUUAAAGGAGAUGAACAUUAGAACGUCCUCUUUGGAUCUUCGGUGAGUUCCUCAGUCCUCAUUCAGCUGGGCUGAAGUGUGCUGCGUCGCUUCAUCUUCAACCAGUGAACAUGACAGGACCACUGCCCGGAACCCACUCUUUGUGCGAGUGGAGCGGAACAUCUAAAACGGAAGGAGAAACUUCCACUUCAACGCAGACCGAUCGGAAUCGGUCAAACGGGUGAACUGCUCAGUCUGCAGCAAAAGGAAAAUAUAAAGUGGAACGACGCAGUGACACGCUUACCAGGAUUGACAGUGAUAAUGGUUUUGGAGUUGACUGUUGCGGUCAUUCCAUUGCGGAAGCUGUCAAAGGUAAUCUUUGCAUCCGCUAUGAAGAUCACUUGGAACGAGGAAUCGAGUCAAAACACGCUGGUGUUGGUCUUCCUACUUCCUGAUCUCCAACCUGUGGGCUGAAUGGAAGUUUUUGUUUGCCUGGAUUGAUUUCCUCUGGGUCCUGGUCCUUGCAAAUGAACAGAUUCCUGCCAUCCACAACACUUACAGUCAUUUCAAGAAUGCUGACCAAUCACACACUUUCAAUGUGAAAGGAGCCAGAAUAUCUUCACGGAGGAGCAACACAGAGAGCAAAGUGACUUCAUGUCAGGCGGCCCGGCUACUCCUCAAAACCGCCGCGACUUUUGCCAAGCCACCACCGCAAGGAAUGCGGCCUGCAGCUGAGCCAGAAAGCGCCACUCAUGCAACCCGACGUUCACAUUCAAUCACAUAAACAUGGGCGG